UAUCUGUAGGUGAACCUGCAGAUGGAUCAUUUCGAUGAAAAACCUUUUUUCAGAGGUGUGGCUCGCACCUGUCCAACUAAACUUGAGCUACCUUUUUCAACACGGUUGCAUCGGUCGGCCUGUCAAACAGCGCGACGCAAGGAGAAAAUCCUCGCGUCUGCUGGGCGACGGACAGACAAUUUUAUUGAACACUUUUUGAUGAUCUAGGAUUUGAAGGAGAAAAAGUCAUUUUUACGAAUGAAAUCGGCUGGUAAUGCGGUCGUCUAAUUUUAAAAACAACUUUUGGCAACGGAUCUCUUGGUUCUCCCAUCGAUGAAGAACGCAGCGAAUUGCGAUAAGUAAUGUGAAUUGCAGAAGUGAAUCAUCGAAUCUUUGAACGCACCUUGCGCUCCCGGCAGAUCUAAUCUGGGGAGCAUGCCUGUUUGAGGGCCGCGAAUUGUUUCGAACGACAGCUUUUUUCUUUUGGAAAAGGUUGACGGAUCGGUAUUGAGGGUUUUUGCCAUUUAUCGUGGCUCCCUUGAAAUAGAUUAGCGCAUCCAUUUUAUAGGCAAGACGGACGAAAGCUCGAUUUUUGCUCUCUCUUCCCUGCCGGGUUUUGAUACUAUCAGGACUUCGGAGAGGUUGAGAUGGGUAGGAGCUCGACGCAACGGCUUGCUGUUUGGAGUGCUUCUGAAACCCGCCCAUGCCGAGUUUUCUUUUAGAAAGCUAGGAAGGAAUUUAUAAUAAUUCAUCGGCCUCAGAUUGGUAGGACUACCCGCUGAACUUAA
rnacentral:sRNA from 1 species